ncrna:unclassified sequences S16-Flavobacteria ribosomal protein leader
AUUAAUAACCGAGAUCGUGUAUCUCACAAAUUAAU